rnacentral:rRNA from 1 species
AUUGAACGCUGGCGGCAUGCUUUACACAUGCAAGUCGAACGGUAACAGGGUGCUUGCACCGCUGACGAGUGGCGAACGGGUGAGUAAUGCGUCGGAACGUGCCGAGUAGUGGGGGAUAACGCAGCGAAAGUUGUGCUAAUACCGCAUACGUACUGAGGUAGAAAGUGGGGGACCUUCGGGCCUCACGCUAUUCGAGCGGCCGACGUCUGAUUAGCUAGUAGGUGAGGUAAAGGCUCACCUAGGCGACGAUCAGUAGCGGGUCUGAGAGGAUGAUCCGUCACACUGGGAGUGAGCAACGGCCCGGACGCCGACGGGAGGGAGCAGUGGGGAAUUUUGGACAAUGGGCGAAAGCCUGGUCCAGCCAUGCCGCGUGUCUGAAGAAGGCCGUCGGGUUGUAAAGGACUUUUGUCAGGGAGGAAAUCCCUAGUGCUAAUAACACUGGGGGAUGACAGUACCUGAAGAAUAAGCACCGGCUAACUACGUGCCAGCAGCCGCGGUAA